rnacentral:rRNA from 1 species
GGACCUGACUGCUAUCGGAUUGAUACUAAGCCAUGCGAGUCUUUGCAGUAAUGCAAGGCGGACUGCUCAGUAACACGUAGUCAACUUAACCUAUGGAUGGGUAUAACCUCGGGAAACUGAGAAUAAUUCCCAAUAGAUCAUUUAUCCUGGAAUGGUUGAUGAUUGAAAUGAUUCGUCGCCAUAGGAUAGGACUGCGGCCUAUCAGCUUGUUGGUGAGGUAAAGGCCCACCAAGGCUAUUACAGGUACGGGCUCUGAGAGGAGAAGCCCGGAGAUGGGUACUGAGACACGGACCCAGGCCCUAUGGGGCGCAGCAGGCGAGAAAACUUUGCAGUGUGCGAAAGCACGACAAGGUUAAUCCGAGUGAUUUCUGCUAAAGGAAUCUUUUGCCAGUCCUAAAAACACUGGUGAAUAAGGGGUGGGCGAGUUCUGGUGU